rnacentral:rRNA from 1 species
GACGAACGCUGGCGGCGUGCUUAACACAUGCAAGUCGCACGAGGACGGGAGCUUGCUCCCGAGCCGAGUGGCGGACGGGUGAGUAACACGUGACCAACCUGUCCUAGGGUGAGGGACAACCUGGGGAAACCCGGGCUAAUACCGCAUGAUGUCUCGAGGUCGCAUGGCCAUGAGAUCAAAGAGGGCCUCUGCUUGCAAGCUCUCGCCCUGGGAGGGGUCGCGGCGUAUCAGCUAGUUGGUGAGGUAACGGCCCACCAAGGCUACGACGCGUAGCGGGUCUGAGAGGACGACCCGCCUCAUUGGGACUGAGAUACGGCCCAGACUCCUACGGGAGGCAGCAGUGGGGAAUAUUGCGCAAUGGACGAAGUCUGACGCAGCGACGCCGCGUGUGGGAGGAAGCUCUUCGGGGGUGUAAACCACUGUCAGGAGGGAAGAAACUCGCCGUACCGAAUAGGGCCGGCGAUUGACGGUACCUCCAAAGGAAGCGCCGGCUAACUCCGUGCCAGCAGCCGCGGUAAGACGGAGGGCGCAAGCGUUGUUCGGAAUUACUGGGCGUAAAGCGCGGGCAGGCGGUCUGUUAAGUCGUUUGUGAAAAUCCGGGGCUCAACUCCGGAAAUGCGUACGAUACUGGCAGGCUGGAGACUGGUAGAGGCUAGCGGAAUUUCCUGGUGUAGCGGUGGGAAUGCGUAGAUAUCAGGAAGAACACCUGUGGCGAAGGCGGGCUAGCUGGGCCCAGUUCUGACGCUCAUCCGCGAAAGCGUGGGG